AUGACUGCUGCAGUCGCAGAGCUGCAGUAGUGCAGUAUAGUAGUGUGCUGCAAGCGUGUGUGCCCCCGAGAACUUGCCAACUACAUCCAAUUUGUAGGUGCUCGACUAUCCGAGCCAUGCACGACGUCAAUGUGAACUCGUAUCGUUACAAGCCGACUUGUUCGAGAGCAUGAUCCAAACAGCAAAAACGGCGAGCUACUCAACGGAAAGUCAACCCAACCAUUGUUGGCUGGUUCAUAUGUUGUUGGGUUUUGCAUGUGGGCGUUGUUCCAUAUACAACAUAUAUAAUUCGCUCGCAAAAAUUGUUGAAGUAGCUCACUUUUGCAAGGUGGUAAGCUGCUAGCAUCAAAGUUGCGCAAUUUUUUUUUUAUUAAAAGCUUCAUUUACAUCUGACACCGAGUAUGAAUCAAUGAACAUUUGAAGUCUUGGAGCAGGCGAUAUUGAUAACGAUCAAACAUCGGACCGGAGUUGCAGAGAUGGCGAAAAUGGAGAUAUCGAUAACAGUGAUGAUUAUUAUUAAAUAUUUGUUGAAA